rnacentral:tRNA from 1 species
GGUGCUGUAGACUAAUUUGGUUAGGUCGGCUCCACGGAAUGGAGGAGAUUCGGGUUCGAAUCCCGCCAGCGCCC